CCAAGGCGACGAUCCGUAACUGGUCUGAGAGGAUGAUCAGUCACCCUGGAACUGAGACACGGUCCAGACUCCUACGGGAGGCAGCAGUGGGGAAUAUUGGACAAUGGGCGAAAGCCUGAUCCCAGCCAUGCCGCGUGUGUGAAGAAGGUCUUCGGAUUGUAAAGCACUUUAAGUUGGGAGGAAGGGCAUUAACCUAAUACGUUAGUGUUUUGACGUUACCGACAGAAUAAGCACCGGCUAACUCUGUGCCAGCAGCCGCGGUAAUACAGAGGGUGCAAGCGUUAAUCGGAAUUACUGGGCGUAAAGCGCGCGUAGGUGGUUUGUUAAGUUGGAUGUGAAAUCCCCGGGCUCAACCUGGGAACUGCAUUCAAAACUGACUGACUAGAGUAUGGUAGAGGGUGGUGGAAUUUCCUGUGUAGCGGUGAAAUGCGUAGAUAUAGGAAGGAACACCAGUGGCGAAGGCGACCACCUGGACUAAUACUGACACUGAGGUGCGAAAGCGUGGGGAGCGAACAGGAUUAGAUACCCUGGUAGUCCACGCCGUAAACGAUGUCAACUAGCCGUUGGGAGCCUUGAGCUCUUAGUGGCGCAGCUAACGCAUUAAGUUGACCGCCUGGGAGACG
rnacentral:rRNA from 1 species